ACACCUGAUGUGGAUGCUGAGAAUCAAACUCAGGUCCUCCGCAAUAGCAAGCAGUAAGCGCUCAACUGCUGAGCCAUCUCUCCAACCCUGAAGAGAGGUUAUUAAAUAAAGCUUUUAGGAUACAGUGCAAUCAGUCUGACAUGGAAAAAAAGCAUAAUGAAGGCUGCCUCUCCUGGACCCUGCAGUCCCUUCAGCCCCUGGAACAGAGAUGUGCACACCCCUGAAGAAUUUCCUCUCUGGGUUCUCCUUCCAGAAGGCCAGAAAAUACUACAUAGCCUGGAGCUUCUCACCAGGUGAAGUGAGACAGAGACCCAGAAUGGAUGUCCAGACCAGAAGCCAUUUAAGAGGCAACUCACACCGUGACCCUAGCCACUCCACAGCUAUCAAAGUGCCUGAAAAGCAGAUCCCGAGUCCAGUUGUCACAGGCAAAUGAAAAAUGAAGAGAAACCGAAUAAAUAGAUGAUUUUUGGAAGCUUUCAUCAAGAAAUUCUAGUGGACUUUAAAUUGGACAUUUUCAAUUCACCCUGUUGUGACUUUUUCUGAUUCUCUGCCUAUAAUUUGUGCCUAACUACUCUUUACUUCUCCUUCAUAGGCACUAGUUAAAGACUUUCUUUUCUCUCUAUAGCUAUACUUUUGGGUCUUUCAAACAGACCCACUGGAGGGGUGCCCCAUUUGCCACACCCCACAUCCCUAUUCAGCAUGGAAGAAGCCAGAAUGACCGGCCCUAAUUCCCUAUUGGCAAUCAGGGUUACCUCUUAGAGGGCAGAAUAAUGAGAAUAGGAGGUAGAAAGUGACUAGACAGCAUUAAAGUAACGACCCCAAAUGAAAAAUGACCAGCUGAGAGCUGGAAAUUUCCUUGGACUUUUCCUUACCUGAGACUAGAGAUACCUGAAGUAUCAGAAAAGGGAGGUAUCUGUGCUGUAUUUAUGUAAAUCAAUCUGACACAGUUAAAGAAAAUUCAAGGCAGCUAUUAAUCUGGUAUGGUAAAAAUGCAAAGCAGCUACUAGAGAGAAUAAAGGCUGAACAAAAAAGAGUCUUUCUAAAAGAGUACCUGGAAUACUUGAGGCCUCUGAAUAGCCUUACUAACAGGACCAAUAGUGAGUUCUACUAACUCUCCUGUUAAGAUCUUGGAUAAUAAACUUACCAAAUUUAUCAAAAACCAAGUAGAGGUCAUUAGACUCCAGGUGAUUCAUCAAGAAUAUCUCAGAGUUCCUCUUAAAUAAAUAUAAGGGAUUAUGUUGAUGAAGAGGAAGGAAUAUAAUGGAAAUCUCUGAGACAAGAGCUAGAAACGGGGGAGGUGAACAGGAACCUUCCCUUCCCCCCUACGGUUAUCCAAAUAGAAGUCUUUAUUUUCCCAAACUGCAGCAUUCCUAUAACCUUUGCCAGGAUGGAAGUCAUUGUUUGCCAAGCCUGCCACUUCCUGUAUCCUUUAUGACCAUAUGCUACUUGUAAACCACUUACUUAAUUACCACAUAUGUUAUUUGCCCUUUGCUUGCAUUCCUCAUAGGAGCACAAAGGUCCCCAAAAACUUGAGGUGGAGGCUGACUCCUUUAUGGAAUGAUCUGUGUCAGUCCUGCUAGUGGAAGAAUAAACUACU